GAGUUUGAUCCUGGCUCAGAUUGAACGCUGGCGGCAGGCCUAACACAUGCAAGUCGAGCGGAUGACGGGAGCUUGCUCCUUGAUUCAGCGGCGGACGGGUGAGUAAUGCCUAGGAAUCUGCCUGGUAGUGGGGGACAACGUUUCGAAAGGAACGCUAAUACCGCAUACGUCCUACGGGAGAAAGCAGGGGACCUUCGGGCCUUGCGCUAUCAGAUGAGCCUAGGUCGGAUUAGCUAGUUGGUGGGGUAAUGGCUCACCAAGGCGACGAUCCGUAACUGGUCUGAGAGGAUGAUCAGUCACACUGGAACUGAGACACGGUCCAGACUCCUACGGGAGGCAGCAGUGGGGAAUAUUGGACAAUGGGCGAAAGCCUGAUCCAGCCAUGCCGCGUGUGUGAAGAAGGUCUUCGGAUUGUAAAGCACUUUAAGUUGGGAGGAAGGGCAGUAAGUUAAUACCUUGCUGUUUGACGUUACCGACAGAAUAAGCACCGGCUAACUCUGUGCCAGCAGCCG
rnacentral:rRNA from 1 species